UCUCCGUUGGUGAACCAGCGGAGGGAUCAUUACCGAGUGCAAACUCAUAACCCUUUGUGAACCUAUAUCUGUUGCUUCGGCGGCUCGCUCUCGGGCGAGCCCGCCGGUAAUAUCAGUAUCUCUGUUUGAACCCGACGAUACUUCUGAGUGUUCUUAGCGAACAGUUAAAACUUUUAACAACGGAUCUCUUGGCUCUAGCAUCGAUGAAGAACGCAAC
rnacentral:misc_RNA from 1 species